rnacentral:rRNA from 1 species
AACGAACGCUGGCGGCAUGCCUAACACAUGCAAGUCGAACGAGACCUUCGGGUCCAGUGGCGCCCGGGUGCGUAACGCGUGGGAACCUGCCCUUAGGUUCGGAAUAACUCCCCGAAAGGGGUGCUAAUACCGGAUAAUGUCUUCGGCCUAAAGAUUUAUCGCCUUUGGAGGGGCCGGCGUUGCAUUAGCUAGUUGGUAGGGUUAAAGCCUACCAAGGCGACGAUCCAUAGCUGGUCUGAGAGGAUGAUCAGCCACACUGAGACUGAGACACGGCCCAGACUCCUACGGGAAGCAGCAGUGGGUAAUAGUGGACAAUGGGCGGAAGGCUGAUCCAGCAAUGCCGCGAGAAUGAUGAAGGCCUUAGAGUUGUAAAGCUCUUUUACCCGGGAUGAUAAUGACAGUACCGGGAGAAUAAGCUCCGGCUAACUCCGUG